CAGAGAUGAUCAUGGAAACAACUGAAUCUGGGUCCCUCUUGUUCUGGGAGCUAGAUGUCCCCAGUCUGAGGGGGACAUACCUUCCCAAAGGGCAUGGUGUAGUACUCCACGUGGUCAUCUUUAAUUUCCAGGGGCUCCUUGCUGUCAUCAGCUACAAUCACGUUGCACUGGGAAGUAAAGACAUUUUAAGGUUAUCCAACUUGG
ensembl:antisense predicted gene 11534